AUGGAGAGAUAUGGGAUUUCUUUCUUUUGCUUUUGUUUGACCAAAACAGUUUGUCAUAGGGAGCAUUUGGUCAUUUGCUGGUCCAUUAUCCCUCAGUCCUGCAUGAUCCUUCAUUAUUUAUUUUUUUAUAAACAUUAAUUGUUGCAUGAUCUGACGGACUAAGUUAAUUUGAUGCUACAAGGCUAUCUCUGUGUGUGUGUGUGUGUGUGUGUGUGUGUGUCUUUGUGUCAGUUUGAAAUUGCUGCAAAUGUACUGUGCCCACAGCUCACUGGCUCUGCUUCGGUGACAUCACUGAAGGUGAGACUGCUUCCCCCCCCACUGUUACUGUAUCAACUGAGUGGAGGUGACAGUGAAAUCAAAGCUGUCCUUUGGGAUUUUUCAUCAAAGUUUCACAUCUGACCCGGACCCUCACUUACUUCGAGUCCUUUUGCAAUGGCUGAACAAGCUGAGAGGAGAAAAGCUGACCGGCGCUUCACUGCUUGGUUUGCCACAGACCGCAGGAGAACCUACCUGUCCACCUGGCGAGAAACAGCACGCCGGAACAAAUAGCCUCAGAGGUUCAAAAGACGGAGUCCAGCAAGCACUGGAUGCUUAGAGCUAGGACGUGGGACCACAGCCACAUUUGUGCCCUCCAUUUGUGCAGAACCUCGCAGGAGAACUUCUGAACCGUGGCUUCUUCGUGACAGACCUGCCCCUAGGAGCCCGGAGCCGGAGGUUUGGCGGAGGAGGCUGAUGACCUGUCCUGUCUUCAUGAAAAAUAAGUGUACUCUGACCGUGCAACACACGUGCGAAACACAAAAAGCACCACGAGAGGAUCCACGCUACCUGAAAGAAGGCUGCCUUCUGAAUCCAACGAUACCAGUUAUGUGCACAUCGGACCUACGCUUCAAAAGAUACGGACAGAUCCACGCUACCUGAAAGAAGGCCGCCUUCUGAAUCCAACGAUACCGGUUAUGUGCACAUCGGACCUACGCUUCAAAAGAUACGGACAGAUCCACGCUACCUGAAAGAAGGCCGCCUUCUGAAUCCAACGAUACCAGUUAUGUGCACAUCGGACCUACGCUUCAAAAGAUACGGACAGAUCCACGCUACCUGAAAGAAGGCCGCCUUCUGAAUCCAACGAUACCAGUUAUGUGCACAUCGGACCUACGCUUCAAAAGAUACGGACAGGUAAGCUUUGGCCAAUCAGAUCGCAUAUGCUAACGAGGGUGGAAUUAAUGAGGGUGAAACUCGUUUUUAUCUAUAUACCUAACCCUAAC